rnacentral:rRNA from 1 species
CGAAGGACCCGAGCGUUAUCCGGAUUUAUUGGGUUUAAAGGGUGCGUAGGCGGACUAGUAAGUCAGUGGUGAAAGCCCAUCGCUUAACGGUGGAACUGCCAUUGAUACUGCUAGUCUUGAGUAUGGUUGAGGUGGGCGGAAUGUGUCAUGUAGCGGUGAAAUGCUAGAUAUGACCCAGAACACCAAUUGCGAAGGCAGCUCGCUAAGCCAUAACUGACGCUGAUGCACGAAAGCGUGGGGAGCAAACAGGAUUAGAUACCCUGGUAGUCCACGCCCUAAACUAUGAUCACUCGUUGUUGGCGAUACACAGUCAGCGACUAAGGGAAACCAUUAAGUGAUCCACCUGGGAAGUACGACCGCAAGGUUG